GAUCAUGGCUCAGGAUGAACGCUAGCUACAGGCUUAACACAUGCAAGUCGAGGGGAAACGACAUCGAAAGCUUGCUUUUGAUGGGCGUCGACCGGCGCACGGGUGAGUAACGCGUAUCCAACCUGCCCACCACUUGGGGAUAACCUUGCGAAAGUAAGACUAAUACCCAAUGAUAUCCCACGAAGGCAUCGGAAUGGGAUUAAAGAUUUAUCGGUGAUGGAUGGGGAUGCGUCUGAUUAGCUUGUUGGCGGGGUAACGGCCCACCAAGGCAACGAUCAGUAGGGGUUCUGAGAGGAAGGUCCCCCACAUUGGAACUGAGACACGGUCCAAACUCCUACGGGAGGCAGCAGUGAGGAAUAUUGGUCAAUGGGCGAGAGCCUGAACCAGCCAAGUAGCGUGCAGGAUGACGGCCCUAUGGGUUGUAAACUGCUUUUAUAAGGGAAUAAAGUUAGUCUCGUGAGACUUUUGCAUGUACCUUAUGAAUAAGGACCGGCUAAUUCCGUG
rnacentral:rRNA from 1 species